rnacentral:rRNA from 1 species
UACGUAGGGUGCAAGCGUUGUCCGGAAUUACUGGGCGUAAAGGGUGCGCAGGCGGUUAUAUAAGACAGAUGUGAAAUCCCCGGGCUCAACCUGGGAACUGCGUUUGUGACUGUAUGACUAGAGUACGGUAGAGAGGGGUGGAAUUCCUGGUGUAGCAGUGAAAUGCGUAGAUAUCAGGAGGAACAUCGAUGGCGAAGGCAGCCCCUUGGACCUGUACUGACGCUCAUGCACGAAAGCGUGGGGAGCAAACAGG